AACGAACGCUGGCGGCGCGCCUAACACAUGCAAGUCGAACGGACCGGAGAGGAGCUUGCUUUUCUUAGAUUAGUGGCGAACGGCUGAGUAACUGGUGAGUAACCUGCCCUGGAGAGUGGGACAACAACUGGAAACGACUUCUCAUACCCCAUAUGAUCACGAUCCGGCAUCGCAUUGUGGGAUAAGGAUUUAUUCGAUUCAGCAUGGACUCUCGUCCAAUUAGCUAGUUGGUGCGGAAACGGCCCACCAAGGCGACGAUUGGUAGCCGGACUGAGAGGUUGAGCGGCCACACUGGGACUGAGACACGGCCCAGACUCCUACGGGAGGCAGCAGUGGGGGAUAUUGCAAAAUGGGGGCAAGCCUGAUGCAGCGACGCCGCGUGAAGGAAGAAGGUUUUAGGGUUGUAAAGUCCUGUUGUCCGGGACGAUAAUGACGGUACCUAAAGAGUAAGCACCGGCUAACUUCGUG
rnacentral:rRNA from 1 species